GGGCGGCUGGAUCUGGAUCCUCCUGUCGACUCGUCAUAAUACGCUGUCCAACAUCUAUCGAGAUAUUUCUGAAGGUCAAGAAAAGUCUGUGACUGCAGUUUGAUGGUUGAAGCCCAAACAAACCUGACAACCAUGUUUCUACCAUUCAUGUUAAUAUGUUCAGUGUUUAUUACGUAUAAUGUUGGCGUUGCUGCUUCAAUCGAAUGUCUUGCCCAGAAUGAAUACCAAGCAGGGACGGAAUGUUGCCCUGAAUGUCCGCCUGAUACCAUAUCUACUUUCUAAUAAUCUACAACAGAUAUCACAUCUACUUUCUAAUAAUCUACAACAGAUACCGUCUACAAAUCAGUCCACAAAUCUACAACAUGUCC
ensembl:lncRNA